GGCAACUUUGGGAAUGGCUCUCGCAUAUCUUUCCUUUGAGAACAGGACGUCAUAGAGGGUGAGAACCCCGUUCAUGGCGAGAUGACCCAGUCCUAUGUAAAGUGCUUUCUAAGAGUCGAGUUGUUUGGGAAUGCAGCUCUAAGUGGGUGGUAAAUUCCAUCUAAGGCUAAAUAUUGGCGAGAGACCGAUAGCGAACAAGUACAGUGAUGGAAAGAUGAAAAGAACUUUGAAAAGAGAGUGAAAAAGUACGUGAAAUUGUUGAAAGGGAAGGGCUUGAAGUCAGACAUGGUAUUCAGUGAUCAACUGUCUUUCGGGACUGUGCACUCGCUGUUUACUGGGCCAGCAUCGGUUUAGGCGGUGAGAUAAAUGCAAGAGAAUGUGGCUCCGCUUUCGGGUGGAGUGUUAUAGCUUUUGUUCAUAUCACCAGCUUGGACCGAGGACCGCGCUUCGGCUAGGAUGCUGGCGUAAUGAC
rnacentral:rRNA from 1 species